CCUACGGGGGGCAGCAGUGAGGAAUAUUGGUCAAUGGACGAGAGUCUGAACCAGCCAAGUAGCGUGAAGGAUGACUGCCCUAUGGGUUGUAAACUUCUUUUAUAUGGGAAUAAAAUGUUCCACGUGUGGGAUUUUGUAUGUACCAUAUGAAUAAGGAUUGGCUAACUCCGUGCCAGCAGCCGCGGUAAUACGGAGGAUCCGAGCGUUAUCCGGAUUUAUUGGGUUUAAAGGGAGCGUAGGUGGAUUGUUAAGUCAGUUGUGAAAGUUUGCGGCUCAACCGUAAAAUUGCAGUUGAAACUGGCAGUCUUGAGUACAGUAGAGGUGGGCGGAAUUCGUGGUGUAGCGGUGAAAUGCUUAGAUAUCACGAAGAACUCCGAUUGCGAAGGCAGUUCACUGGACUGCAACUGACACUGAGGCUCGAAAGUGUGGGUAUCAAACAGGAUUAGAUACCCGUGUAGUC
rnacentral:rRNA from 1 species